GGAAUACAAGAAAAAGAAGACUUGGAACAUUUCACAUGAUCUAAACUAGGAACCUCACACUGUGCUGGAACAUAAUGAUCAUGGUGGUGACGUUGGUGACAGUGACAAUACUACUUUGGCCAUUCCUGAAAAUAAUGAUUCUCCAGAGAUGUCCACAUCCUCAUCUAAUCUCUGUAUCUUCAAUGAAAUAUUACCUUACAUGGAAAAGGAACCUGCAGACAGAAUUGAAGACUUUGAGAUGGGGAGAUUAUUCUGGAUUACUCAGAUGGCUACAAUAUAAUCACAUGAAUCCUUAAAAAUGAAAGAGAGUCAGAAGAAUGGGUUAAAGGGUGUGAUGUGGGAGUUGAUCAGCUGUUGUUGACUCUGAAGAUGGAAAAAGGGAGCUAAAGCCAAGGCUUUAGGUAGAAAAGAAGAAUGUUUUAUAUUGGACCUCCAUGAUAUUCAUUGGUUUCUUCAAAUAUUACUAAGGAUAUUUGGGGAGAAAAAGGGAGAAAAAUUAAGAUAAUAAAUCAACCUCUUUAGAAGGUAAGAAUCGAGUUUUCUAUAAGUUACCUAUUUGAAUAAUAAUGAGGCUAUCUGGAAUAAACCAGAUUUUUUAAAUUAAACAUAUUAACACCAAAACUGUUGGUUAUUAUCUAUAAGAAGACUGGCCUUUUAUCAGAUCUUGAUUUAACUUAUAAUCAUCUUUAAAUAUUACUUAUUUUUCUAGAGGGUUUUGAUAAUUAAAAUAUAGUGUAAUUACGUUAACAGAUAAAGGUAUUUCUUUGAUAGCCUUUUGCUCUCUUAAAAUUACCAACUGGAGAUUAAACAAACAAAGAAAUAAGUGUAGCAGUGGUAAAAAUGCAGGGCAGAUAUAUCAGCAUGUCAGUUUUACAUCUGGCUGAUAUCAUGAUGACAACAGAUCUGUUAAGACAAAUGCUUCCCUGACAAGCUAUUUAAUUAGAAUUACAAUAAUCUUCCCAGAAAUGAUCCUUAAAAUGAAUUGUCUACUGUAAAUGGAUGAAAAUAAAUAGUUUGUCUCUCCCCACAUCUCCUGAAAUAAAAGAGCCAAAGACAAACAGUCUUACAAAUACCAUAAUUUUCCAGAUGGAAAUGUGGGAGGAACAGUUAACAUUAGGUAACAAUAAGUAUUGCUGUGAUUGGAAGUGUUGUUUUCUUUUUUUCUUUUCCACUUUUCAUUUUUAGAUUGAUGUGGAUGACGAAGUGAUAGUUUUUGUCACAAACUGUCAUUAGGCAGGUACUCUAUUCACGAUGCCUCUAAAUCAGUGGAAAUAAAGGUAACUAGAUUUUUGUUUUUCAAUUUAAACGUGGUGGAACACAAUGUAAGACCAUGUAAAAAAUCCUAGGUGGUUUAAAGCCUGCUACCUACAUUUGGUAUCAAAGUAACCUUGGAAAACUCUUUAAUCUCUUUCAAAGUCAUUUCCUGGUCUUUAAGUUAUAGAUAAUACUUUUUCAUACAAUAUUUGUGAGAAUCAUACAAUGUGACACCCCUUAAAAUAAUUUCUUGAAAAAUAUGGAAUAGAAAUAAAGAAAAUAUAUAUUUAAGCACAGUGUAUAGCACUGGCUUUUGUUUCUAUGGAAACAAAUUUAAUUUGACUUGUCAAGGGCCUUAAAAUAUGCAAAUUUAAAGAGAUUUAAUGAUACUCAUUAAAUAAAAAUAUUUCUGAAGAAACAUGGAAACUCUGAAUUGUGAAGGACACUUUGUAUCAUAUUUGCCCAAACACCAACAUGAUUUUAGUCUUUUUCAUAAUAUAACUGCCAAGAAAAAACUAACAUUAAUGACUUAAGUUCUUAUAUAUUCAUAUCAAUACAUUUUUGAGAAUCAUAGAAUUUUAUAUAGAAGACUCAUAUAUCACUUAUAUAUUUCUCUUUUUAAAAAUAAUAUUUAUAUAUUUAUUUUAAAUCC